rnacentral:snRNA from 1 species
AUUGCUUCUCGGCUUUUUAGCUAAGAUCAAGUGUAUAAAUCUCAACAUAUGUAUUUAUGCUAGCAUAUAUCAUAGAUAUAUAUAUAUCAUAGAUAUGCCCCUACAUACCUUCC